rnacentral:rRNA from 1 species
GACGUAGGGCGCGAGCGUUGUCCGGAUUUAUUGGGCGUAAAGAGCUCGUAGGCGGCUUGUCGCGUCGUCUGUGAAAUCCCGCGGCUCAACCGCGGGUCUGCAGUCGAUACGGGCAGGCUAGAGUUCGGUAGGGGAGACUGGAAUUCCUGGUGUAGCGGUGAAAUGCGCAGAUAUCAGGAGGAACACCGGUGGCGAAGGCGGGUCUCUGGGCCGAUGACUGACGUGAGGAGCGAAAGCGUGGGGGAG